GAUGAACGCUGUCGGCGUGCCUAAUACAUGCAAGUCGAGCGAACGGACGAGAAGCUUGCUUCUCUGAUGUUAGCGGCGGACGGGUGAGUAACACGUGGAUAACCUACCUAUAAGACUGGGAUAACUUCGGGAAACCGGAGCUAAUACCGGAUAAUAUUUUGAACCGCAUGGUUCAAAAGUGAAAGACGGUCUUGCUGUCACUUAUAGAUGGAUCCGCGCUGCAUUAGCUAGUUGGUAAGGUAACGGCUUACCAAGGCAACGAUGCAUAGCCGACCUGAGAGGGUGAUCGGCCACACUGGAACUGAGACACGGUCCAGACUCCUACGGGAGGCAGCAGUAGGGAAUCUUCCGCAAUGGGCGAAAGCCUGACGGAGCAACGCCGCGUGAGUGAUGAAGGUCUUCGGAUCGUAAAACUCUGUUAUUAGGGAAGAACAUAUGUGUAAGUAACUGUGCACAUCUUGACGGUACCUAACCAGAAAGCCACGGCGAACUACGU
rnacentral:rRNA from 1 species